rnacentral:tRNA from 1 species
UGGUUUAGUGAUGAAAAAGUCUGGUCUUGAAAACCAGCGUGUCUUCACGGGUACCGUGGGUUCGAAUCCCAC